GGCAAGGUGGAUUCAGCCAAUGGCAAGACAGCGCGCGGCGGCCCCGGCCAAUGGGUAGGCAGCGCGGGGCGGCCCCGAGAGCAGCUCCCCGCCCGUGUGGCAGCCGCGGCCGCCGCCGUGUACAUUUUCGCGCGCACAGGGGAUCCGCCUGCCUGACGGGGCCGUGGUGCGGGCGCGGCGGCAGCGCUUCGGAAUCGCGGCUACCGCAACAACGUCCCAGGAUGGCGCAGCGGAGCGUGAAUGACGGCCGGCACCGCCGGCGCCGGCCAAGGAACGUAGACAGCCAAGGCCUGAGGAGAAGCGGCGGCAGUCCCCGAGCCCAGCACCGUCGCCGGGGAACGGAAGGUUGCGCAGGAGGAGCAUCUGCCUGCUGGUGCCUUGCGAGACCCACCCACUGGUGCAGCCCCUGGACCUGGACCUGGGCGAAAACAUCAUAG
rnacentral:lncRNA from 1 species